rnacentral:misc_RNA from 1 species
CGAAGUAAAAGUCGUAACAAGGUCUCCGUUGGUGAACCAGCGGAGGGAUCAUUAUCGAGUUUAUAACUCCCAAACCCUAUGUGAACUUACCACUUGUUGCUUCGGCGCGCGCUUCGGCGCCGCCGAGGACACUUAAACUCUUUGUUUUUAUAAGCAUUUCUGAGUGGCCGAAAGGCAAAAUACAAAUGAAUCAAAACUUUCAACAACGGAUCUCUUGGUUCUG